ensembl:lncRNA
CAACCACAAAAAAUGAUGCACUGUGGUCUCUAAGAUAUUUUGGUUUUUGUUUGUUUAAGGUUUUAAAUUCUUUUAUGUUGAAGAUUUAUUUAUUUUUAUUUUAUUUGUGUUUAUCUGCCUGCAUGUUUGUACAUGCUGUGCAUGCAGUACCCACAGUGGCCAGAAGGGGGGGUGUCGUGUCCUCAGGAGCUGUCGUUACAGACAAUUGUGAACCCCAUGUGAGUGCUGCGAACUGAGCCCCAUCCUCUGUGGGAGUAUCCGGUGCUGUAGCCACUGAGCAGUCCCUCCAGCUCCCUCUCUUUUUUUCUGGGCCUAGAGUACAGCAGUGAAGCCGAGCCAGCCAGGGUUCCCCAGGGCUCCCCAGGGCUUCCCUUGUGGUCCCUCCUGCCACCUGAAACAGCAUCUGGGCCACAAGCCCAGCUAUUUGUCACUCUGAACCUGGGUCCUUGUGGGCCCAUGAUAAGCCCUCUACCCACUCAGCAAACUUUCCAUCCACAAAGUUUUUGGUUUUUGAAACAGGUCUUGUGUUGUUCAGGCUGGCUCCAAGCUCAAUUAAGGAGCAAAGGAUGCCCCUGAGUCCCUGAUUCUUCUGCCUCUGCCUCCUUGAUUCUCUGCCUCCCAUAGGCCCAAACAGAGGCCUAGAGAUGGGCAUCGCCUCCCUCUAGGUGUUGGCUGCUGAGCACCUCAGAGACCAACGAAAACCAUCUGGGAGCCCAGGCCUUUCUGUUCCCCAAAUAACCCCAAGUGUCUCCAGAGACACACUCAACCUCAGAAAUACAAUACAGUCCCCCUGGGAGGCUGGGCAAGACCUUAAAAGCCCUUAAGCACCCCAGGUGACUCCCUGAUCUGAGGUGCCAGCUCCCCCGAGUGGGUCAGGUAUCCCUCAGCAGAGAGAAAUCUCAAAAACACAAGAGGACAUGGGGGGAUGGGAUCUAGGCAGGUAGGGAUUCCAGUCCCCUCAGCCAGGCCACAGGCUCCUGUCAGCCUCUGCUGCCCCACAUCCCCAGGGGGAACCCGACUCCACCCCCAGUGCUGCAUAAACCAGGUGUGGAGGCAAGGGCCUCAGAUGUUCAAAGUCAGCCUCAGCUACAAAAGGAGUUGGGGGCCAGCCUGGGCUACACGAACCCUGUCUCAAAAAGAAAAACAAAAAACAAAAAAACAAAAUAAAACCAAGCAUUUUGAGUAUUGGUCCUUGGCUGAGGUUUUGGAGAUGAAAGGAAUGAAGGCAGGAUGGGCAAAUGUAAUACUUUCCUGGACAUGGUAUUUACAUUACAACAGGUGGGGAGGGCAGAGGUCACAGCCACCACUGCCUGGGAGCUGGGUCAAGGCCGAGUGGUGGAAGACUGGAAACCCCAAGACUUGCUUUACAUUCACUAAGUAGCUGAGAAGGACUCCACCACGCUCAAAAAGGAGGAAAAUGAGAGCUGGAGAGAUGGCUCAGCGGUUAAGAGCACUGCUUUUCCGAAGGUCCUGAGUUCAAUUCCCAGCAACCACAUGGUGGCUCACAACCAUCUGUAAUGGGAUCCAAUGCCCUCUUCUUCUGGUGUGUCGGAAGACAGGUACAGUGUAUUCAUAUACAUAAAAUAAAUAAAUCUAAAAAAAAAAAAAAAGAAAGAAA